GAUGAACGCUGGCGGCGUGCUUAACACAUGCAAGUCGAACGAGAAAUGGAGACGGAAACCUUCGGGCGGAAGGCUUCAUUUCGAGUGGCGGACGGGUGAGUAACGCGUGGGUAACCUGCCUCAUACAGGGGGAUAACAGUUGGAAACGACUGUUAAUACCGCAUAAGGCCACAGCACCGCAUGGUGCGGGGGUAAAAACUCCGGUGGUAUGAGAUGGACCCGCGUUCGAUUAGCCAGUUGGCGGGGUAACGGCCCACCAAAGCGACGAUCGAUAGCCGAUCUGAGAGGAUGACCGGCCACAUUGGGACUGAGACACGGCCCAAACUCCUACGGGAGGCAGCAGUGGGGAAUAUUGCACAAUGGGGGAAACCCUGAUGCAGCGACGCCGCGUGAGUGAAGAAGUACUUCGGUAUGUAAAGCUCUAUCAGCAGGGAAGAAAAUGACGGUACCUGAGUAAGAAGCCCCGGCUAACUACGU
rnacentral:rRNA from 1 species